UUUACAGUUCAAUGGUGCAUUUUAAGAUGUAAAUUGGGAUCUUUUGGAUGAGCUUCCCAACACAGAGUCUUUAUUCAAGACAGCAUAGAAUGAACUUUUAAGGCAGCAUGAAGUUCAAGUUACUGCAGUAACAGAUCAUCUGAAAAUGCUCCAGGUGUGAUUCAGCCACAUGCAAAUUCAGUGUUCAGCUCCUCCACCAUUAACAGGCUUGUGCUGCUUGUCCAUGCUACCUCCUGUCCUGAGCUGCAGCAUCAGAGUCACAAUGUCAAGGUAAAAUGCCCAUGCUGAUCACAGACAGACGAAGAAUGAGUCAUGAUGUUUGUGCCAUUAAAAUGAUUUGUUUUUAAAUUCAGCUUAAAAUAUACUGAAUUGCUAACAGAA